GGGUGAGUACACGUAAGCAACCUACCCUAAAGACGAGGAUAACCAUUGGAAACAGUGGCUAAGACUGGAUAGGAAGAUAAAAGGCAUCUUUUAUCUUUUAAAAGACCUAGUAAUAGGUAUGCUUUAGGAGGGGCUUGCGCCAUAUUAGUUAGUUGGUAGGGUAAUGGCCUACCAAGACGAUGAUGUGUAGCUGGACUGAGAGGUUGAACAGCCACAUUGGGACUGAGACACGGCCCAAACUCCUACGGGAGGCAGCAGUAGGGAAUUUUCGGCAAUGGAGGAAACUCUGACCGAGCAACGCCGCGUGAAUGACGAAGUACUUCGGUAUGUAAAGUUCUUUUAUCAAGGAAGAAAAGCAAAUGGCGAACCAUUUGUUUGCCGGUACYUGAUGAAUAAGCCCCGGCUAAUUAUGUGCCAGCAGCCGCGGUNAGACAUAAGGGGCAAGUGUUAUCCGGAAUUAUUGGGCGUAAAGGGUGCGUAGGCGGUCUAGUAAGUCAGUGGUGUAAUGGCAACGCUUAACGUUGUCCGGCUAUUGAAACUGCUAAACUUGAGUUAGAUAGAGGCGAGUGGAAUUCCAUGUGUAGCGGUAAAAUGCGUAAAUAUAUGGAGGAACACCAGAGGCGUAGGCGGCUCGCUGGGUCUUAACUGACGCUGAGGCACGAAAGCGUGGGGAGCAAACAGGAUUAGAUACCCUGGUAGUCCACGCCGUAAACGAUGAGUACUAAGUGUCGGGUUAAACCGGUACUGAAGUUAACACAUUAAGUACUCCGCCUGAGUAGUACGUACGCAAGUAUGAAACUUAAAGGAAUUGACGGGACUCCGCACAAGCGGUGGAUCAUGUUGUUUAAUUCGAAGAUACCCGAAAAACCUUACCAGGUCUUGACAUGUUUUUGCAAAAUGAUAGUAAUAUCGUGGAGGUUACCAGAAACACAGGUGGUGCAUGGUUGUCGUCAGCUCGUGUCGUGAGAUGUUAGGUUAAGUCCUAAAACGAGCGAAACCCUUAUCGUUAGUUGCCAGCACGUUAUGGUGGGGACUUUAACGAGACUGCCAAUGAUAAAUUGGAGGAAGGUGAGGAUCACGUCAAAUCAGCAUGCCCCUUAUGACCUGGGCUACAAACGUGAUACAAUGGCUGUUACAAAGGGUAGCUGAAACGCAAGUUCUUGGCCAAUCCCCAAAAACAGUCCCAGUCCGGAUUGAAGUCUGCAACUCGACUUCAUGAAGUUGGAAUCGCUAGUAAUCGCGAAUCAGCAUGUCGCGGUGAAUACGUUCUCGGGGUUUGUACACACCGCCCGUCAAACCACGAAAGUUGGCAAUACCCCAAAACGGUAGCCUAACUCGUUUAUUCGAGAGGGCGCCGUCUAAGGUAGGGUCGAUGAUUGGGGUUAAGUYGUAACAAGGUAUCCCUACCGGAAGGUGGGGAUGGAUCACCUCCUUUYU
rnacentral:rRNA from 1 species